UACGGGGGGGGCAAGCGUUGUUCGGAAUUACUGGGCGUAAAGGGCUCGUAGGUGGCCAACUAAGUCAGACGUGAAAUCCCUCGGCUUAACCGGGGAACUGCGUCUGAUACUGGAUGGCUUGAGUUUGGGAGAGGGAUGCGGAAUUCCAGGUGUAGCGGUGAAAUGCGUAGAUAUCUGGAGGAACACCGGUGGCGAAGGCGGCAUCCUGGACCAACACUGACACUGAGGAGCGAAAGCAUGGGGAGCGAACAGG
rnacentral:rRNA from 1 species